rnacentral:rRNA from 1 species
UAGGGAAUCUUCCACAAAUGGACGAAAGUCUGAUGGAGCAACGCCGCGUGAGUGAAGAAGGGUUUCGGCUCGUAAAACUCUGUUGUUAAAGAAGAACAUAUCUGAGAGUAACUGUUCAGGUAUUGACGGUAUUUAACCAGAAAGCCACGGCUAACUACGUGCCA